rnacentral:lncRNA from 1 species
GUCUCCUUUUAGCCUUCUACAAGAACCAGACUUCGAUCGAACCUCCAUAGCGGUUGGAUAUUGGACGAGCUUCUAUGAUGAUCGGGCUCCAGCAGCUGGAUUCCUACAAUGACUGAUCGCCUUCGAUAUCUGCCGAACCUCCCCAACGCCAUCUGAAGUCCAUCACUGGCCGACCCUCCACCAGAUCCUUCAUAAAAUUGAACUUCCCCAACGGAUCAUCUUCAGGCAAGUUUCCACAUCGGACGAAUCCC